GGUCCUAUGCAAAGAACGGCUUUCAAACCCCGCCAGAUCCGGAAGGAAGCAACGGUAGAUUGUCCGUUCUUGUGCCGUAGUGUACCUGG
rnacentral:SRP_RNA from 1 species